rnacentral:rRNA from 1 species
AGAGUUUGAUCCUGGCUCAGAACGAACGCUGGCGGCAUGCUUAACACAUGCAAGCCGAACGAUGUAGCAAUACAUAGUGGCGCACGGGUGAGUAACGCGUGGGAAUCUGCCCUUCAGUACGGAAUAACAGCGGGAAACUGUUGCUAAUACCGUAUAAUGUCUUCGGACCAAAGAUUUAUCGCUGAAGGAUGAGCCCGCGUCAGAUUAGCUAGUUGGUGAGGUAAUGGCUCACCAAGGCUCCGAUCUGUAGCUGGUCUGAGAGGACGACCAGCCACACUGGAACUGAGACACGGUCCAGACUCCUACGGGAGGCAGCAGUGGGGAAUAUUGGACAAUGGGCGAAAGCCUGAUCCAGCAAUGCCGCGUGAGUGAUGAAGGCCUUAGGGUUGUAAAGCUCUUUUGCCGGGGAAGAUAAUGACGGUACCCGGAGAAUAAGCACCGGCUAACUUCGUGCCAGCAGCCGCGGUAAUACGAAGGGUGCUAGCGUUGUUCGGAAUUACUGGGCGUAAAGCGCGCGUAGGCGGACUGCCAAGUCAGAGGUGAAAUGCCGGGGCUUAACCCCGGAACUGCCUUUGAAACUGUCAGUCUGGAGGUCGAGAGGGGAUAGCGGAAUUGCUAAUGUAGAGGUGAAAUUCGUAGAUAUUAGCAGGAACACCGGUGGCGAAGGCGGCUAUCUGGCUCGAAUCUGACGCUCUGGCGCGAAAGCGUGGGGAUCAAACAGGAUUAGAUACCCUGGUAGUCCACGCUGUAAACGAUGAGUGCUAGCUGUCAGCUCCGUUAGGAGUUGGUGGCGCAGCUAACGCAUUAAGCACUCCGCCUGGGGAGUACGGUCGCAAGAUUAAAACUCAAAGGAAUUGACGGGGACCCGCACAAGCGGUGGAGCAUGUGGUUUAAUUCGAGGCAACGCGAAGAACCUUACCAGCCCUUGACAUGGGUAGUUUGGAUUUCAGAGAUGAUUUCCUUCAGUUUGGCUGGCUACCACACAGGUGCUGCAUGGCUGUCGUCAGCUCGUGUCGUGAGAUGUUGGGUUAAGUCCCGCAACGAGCGCAACCCUCGUCUUUAGUUGCCAUCAGGUUAUGCUGGGCACUCUAAAGAAACUGCCGGUGAUAAGCCGGAGGAAGGUGGGGAUGACGUCAAGUCUUCAUGGCCCUUAUGGGCUGGGCUACACACGUGCUACAAUGGCGGUGACAAUGCGUCGCUACCUCGCGAGAGGAAGCCAAUCGCAAAAAGCCGUCUCAGUUCGGAUUGUUCUCUGCAACUCGAGAGCAUGAAGUUGGAAUCGCUAGUAAUCGUGGAUCAGAACGCCACGGUGAAUACGUUCCCGGGUCUUGUACACACCGCCCGUCACACCAUGGGAGUUGGUUCUACCUUAAGCUGUGUUGCUGACCGCAAGGGGGCGCACAACCACGG